GACGAACGCUGGCGGCGUGCUUAACACAUGCAAGUCGAACGGAAAGGCCCUGCUUUUGUGGGGUGCUCGAGUGGCGAACGGGUGAGUAACACGUGAGUAACCUGCCCUUGACUUUGGGAUAACUUCAGGAAACUGGGGCUAAUACCGGAUAGGAGCUCCUGCUGCAUGGUGGGGGUUGGAAAGCUUCGGCGGUUGGGGAUGGACUCGCGGCUUAUCAGCUUGUUGGUGGGGUAGUGGCUUACCAAGGCUUUGACGGGUAGCCGGCCUGAGAGGGUGACCGGCCACAUUGGGACUGAGAUACGGCCCAGACUCCUACGGGAGGCAGCAGUGGGGAAUAUUGCACAAUGGGCGGAAGCCUGAUGCAGCAACGCCGCGUGCGGGAUGACGGCCUUCGGGUUGUAAACCGCUUUCGCCUGUGACGAAGCGUGAGUGACGGUAAUGGGUAAAGAAGCACCGGCUAACUACGUGCCAGCAGCCGCGGUGAUACGUAGGGUGCGAGCGUUGUCCGGAUUUAUUGGGCGUAAAGGGCUCGUAGGUGGUUGAUCGCGUCGGAAGUGUAAUCUUGGGGCUUAACCCUGAGCGUGCUUUCGAUACGGGUUGACUUGAGGAAGGUAGGGGAGAAUGGAAUUCCUGGUGGAGCGGUGGAAUGCGCAGAUAUCAGGAGGAACACCAGUGGCGAAGGCGGUUCUCUGGGCCUUUCCUGACGCUGAGGAGCGGAAGCGUGGGGAGCGAACAGGCUUAGAUACCCUGGUAGUCCACGCUGUAAACGGUGGGUACUAGGUGUGGGGUCCAUUCCACGGGUUCCGUGCCGUAGCUAACGCUUUAAGUACCCCGCCUGGGGAGUACGGCCGCAAGGCUAAAACUCAAAGGAAUUGACGGGGCCCCGCACAAGCGGCGGAGCAUGCGGAUUAAUUCGAUGCAACGCGUAGAACCUUACCUGGGUUUGACAUGGAUCGGGAGUGCUCAGAGAUGGGUGUGCCUCUUUUGGGGUCGGUUCACAGGUGGUGCAUGGCUGUCGUCAGCUCGUGUCGUGAGAUGUUGGGUUAAGUCCCGCAACGAGCGCAACCCUUGUUCACUGUUGCCAGCACGUUAUGGUGGGGACUCAGUGGAGACCGCCGGGGUCAACUCGGAGGAAGGUGGGGAUGACGUCAAGUCAUCAUGCCCCUUAUGUCCAGGGCUUCACGCAUGCUACAAUGGCUGGUACAGAGAGUGGCGAGCCUGUGAGGGUGAGCGAAUCUCGGAAAGCCGGUCUCAGUUCGGAUUGGGGUCUGCAACUCGACCUCAUGAAGUCGGAGUCGCUAGUAAUCGCAGAUCAGCAACGCUGCGGUGAAUACGUUCCCGGG
rnacentral:rRNA from 1 species